UGUGCACAGCGAGAGCGCAGCCUUUGAACGUAACACCACUGAAACAUCAGUUGGUCUUAACCCAACAAAAACUGUUACUACAAGCCUGUUUUAUUGUAAUUUUAUUCUGAAAGGCACUAGAAUUCAGUCUUUGUGAUCUCACAACUUGGGAGGGAGAAUGAAAUAGAGUGGCUCCACAACAACAAUAAUCAACAUAAUACAUCCAUGCCUGCAGCUCAGAAAGGAUUUUCCCCAUGGGGCACCAAGUGACACCUGUAAAAGUGCUGCCAGGACACCUCGAUCUGCAAACAAGGUCGCACCUUCCUCCCUAUCCACCCGACCCUACCUGGACCUCUCCAUCAUCGCCCCAGCCACUCUGUCCCACUCGGGAGCCAUCGUCGUCCCAGUUGGGCUCAGUGUACGACUGAGCGGCAUAGACUCCAUCGCUGCCCCAGCUCUCCUGGUGCUGAGCAGUUUCUGCAUCGUCCCAGCUGGGCUGGGUGGAGCUCUGGGUGCUGUGUUCAUCGUAAUCCCAGCCGCCAGGGGCUUGCUCUGGGUGUUGGUCAACAUCAUGCUGGGGUUCCUGCUCUGCGGCGGCUUGUUGUUGCUACAAAAGGUCAGGGGGUUGUGGAGCAUUGUGGUGUCAGGAGGAAGGAGUAACCAGGACGUAGAGGGAGGCCACUCAGUCUGACCUGCUCUGUCGUGGUGGUGCUGCUGGAGUCUGAGUGAGCGUCAGGCACCGAGGCCUCGUCCUCUGUGGGGCCGACAUGCUGAGACGGCGUCAGUCGGGGCGGAGGCCGACUGGGAGGAGGACCUGGCCUCUGCACCGCCAGGAGCCUGUAGUUUAGAGGAUUAUGGGUUAUAUUUUCCGUUGUUGCCAAAAACAAACCGUGAGUAAAUUUGCUCAGCCUGUGUGCAGCAGCUUUUA